rnacentral:rRNA from 1 species
UACGUAGGGUGCGAGCGUUGUCCGGAAUUAUUGGGCGUAAAGAGCUCGUAGGCGGUCUGUCGCGUCGAUCGUGAAAACUUGGGGCUUAACCCUGAGCUUGCGGUCGAUACGGGCAUGACUGGAGUUCGGCAGGGGAGACUGGAAUUCCUGGUGUAGCGGUGAAUGCGCAGAUAUCAGGAGGAACACCGGUGGCGAAGGCGCACAUCUGGCCCGAUACUGACGCUGAAGCGCGAAAGCUAGGGGAGCAAACGGG